CAAAGUGGGGGACCUUCGGGCCUCAUGCCAUCAGAUGUGCCCAGAUGGGAUUAGCUAGUAGGUGGGGUAACGGCUCACCUAGGCGACGAUCCCUAGCUGGUCUGAGAGGAUGACCAGCCACACUGGAACUGAGACACGGUCCAGACUCCUACGGGAGGCAGCAGUGGGGAAUAUUGCACAAUGGGCGCAAGCCUGAUGCAGCCAUGCCGCGUGUGUGAAGAAGGCCUUCGGGUUGUAAAGCACUUUCAGCGGGGAGGAAGGCGGUGAGGUUAAUAACCUCACCGAUUGACGUUACCCGCAGAAGAAGCACCGGCUAACUCCGUGCCAGCAGCCGCGGUAAUACGGAGGGUGCAAGCGUUAAUCGGAAUUACUGGGCGUAAAGCGCACGCAGGCGGUCUGUCAAGUCGGAUGUGAAAUCCCGGGCUCAACCUGGGAACUGCAUUCGAAACUGGCAGGCUAGAGUCUUGUAGAGGGGG
rnacentral:rRNA from 1 species